rnacentral:misc_RNA from 1 species
UGCUGGCGUCAUGGCCAGCUCCUUUUAAAUUCAUUAGCGGGACUUUGAAGACUCGGCUUCAGUUUGAUAAUGCAUCUAUGCUGUCGCCGAAGAACGGUUUUGUCUGGCUUAUAGUUGUCCUUUAAAAGGACUGUCUCUUAUGAGGCACAACGCAAUCAACUCUUGACCUCAAAUCAGGUAGGACUACCCGCUGAACUUAA